AUUGAACGCUGGCGGCAGGCCUAACACAUGCAAGUCGAACGAGUGGCGGACGGGUGAGUAAUGUCUGGGAAACUGCCCGAUGGAGGGGGAUAACUCCUGGAAACGGUAGCUAAUACCGCAUACCCUCGGAUGUGCCCAGAUGGGAUUCGCUAGUAGGUGGGGUAACGGCUCACCUAGGCGACGAUCCCUAGCUGGUCUGAGAGGAUGACCAGCCACACGGGAACGGAGACACGGUCCAGACGCCUACGGGAGGCAGCAGUGGGGAAUAGUGCACAAUGGGCGCAAGCCUGAGGCAGCCAUGCCGCGUGUAUGAAGAAGGCCUUAGGGUUGUAAAGUACUUUCAGCGGGGAGGCGUUACUCGCAGAAGAAGCACCGGCUAACUCCGUGCCAGCCGCCGCGGUAAUUC
rnacentral:rRNA from 1 species